rnacentral:rRNA from 1 species
UACGUAGGGUGCAAGCGUUAAUCGGAAUUACUGGGCGUAAAGCGUGCGCAGGCGGUUUUGUAAGUCUGUCGUGAAAUCCCCGGGCUCAACCUGGGAAUUGCGAUGGAGACUGCAAGGCUAGAAUCUGGCAGAGGGGGGUAGAAUUCCACGUGUAGCAGUGAAAUGCGUAGAGAUGUGGAGGAACACCGAUGGCGUAGGCAGCCUCCUGGGCCAAUCCUGACGCUCAGGCACGAAAGCGUGGGGAUCAAACAGG